UUACCCUUUCUCAUUUGCCAAGUCAUCUUGGAGCAGUGAGAAGCAAGGUGGAAGAUAAUGGUCUACUAGAAGAUUAAAAACCUGAUUAGUGGGCCUGGCUCAGCAGAUAAGAGUCCUGACAGCUCUUCCAAAGGACCGGGGUGUUAUUUUUAGCACCUACAUGAUGGCUUUCCAACCACCUGAAACUCCAAUUCCAGAGGAUCUGAUGGCCUCUGUGGGCACUGCAUGCAUGUGGUACACAGACAUACAUACAGGCAAAACACCCAUACACAUGAAAUAAAAAUAAAUAAAGCAAGCAAACAAAACACCGUGUUAGUGCUUGUUUUGGCAACAUAUACAUUAAAAUUGGAGUGAUAGGGAGAGUGUCUUGACUCCUGUGCAAGGAGGACAUUGCAUUCCCAGAGCAUUCCAUUUAAAACAGUGCCUUUUUAAAGGGGCUGGAGAGUGCUUAUCAGCUCUUGCUGCUUGGUCUUCCUCAGGACCCCAGUUCAGUUCCAGCACCCACACCAGGUGGCUUACAGUUGCUGAAAAUUUCAGUCCUAGAGGAUCUGACACCCUCUUCUGUUCUUAGCAGGCACUCUGUCUGUGUGUGUGUAUACAAAAACAAUAAUAGUAGUCUUCAAAACAAAACAAAACAUCAUCCUGUGGACAAGAAAGAUGGCUCAGAGUUUAGGAAUACUUGCUGCUCUUGUGGAAGAACCAGGUUCAGUUCCCGGCACUCACAUAGUGACUCACAAAUGCCUGUAAACUCUCGUUUCAGAGGACUCGACACUGUCUUCCGGCCUUUGUGGGAACCAGACACAAAUAUGUACAUUCAUACACGGAGGCAGAACACACAAAAAUCAAAAUGAGUCUUAAAAAUCACCUUGCUAACGCUAGGCAUGCUUGUGCACACCUGUAAUUCUAACGCUUGGGAGGCUGAUGCAGGAGGACCAUGUGUUCUAGGCCAGCCUGGACUGCAUAGACUAUGAAAACAAAUUCUAGCACUAGGGAGACAGAAGCAGGCGAAUCUCUGAGUUUGAGGCCAGCCAGGGCUACAUAGUGAAACUGUCUUAAAACAAACACCCCCAGACAAACAAAAUGACCCUUGCUAAUUGGAAGUUAUUUCCAGCUAAGAGAGAUUGCAAAGUAGUAGAUUGAAACAAGCCUGUUAACACUUUGAUGUUUGUGUUAUGGUUUGUCUUUCUCUGUCUGUCAUAGGCACAUGUAUAGAUAUGCUUUGACAGAGGAAGAUACCUGAUAACAAUCUCUUGCCUCAAGAAGUAUACCUGUGCAUCAUACACUUGAAUACACCCAUGCAUCAAACACACACAGACACACACACACACACACACACACACACGCCUCUGCAAGUCACUAUUUUAGUGUCAUCAGUAGGUCCAAUGUAGCUGCUUCCCCUGUAGUUCAGGGUCCAAUCUGGGUUCAGGUGUAGCAUUUGCUUAUUAUGAGUUUUUAGUCCACUUUAGGUUUGUUAAUAUUAUUUUUCAAAACAUUAUUCUGUGCAUUGGUAGCUAGUUAGUUGCUCUUGUUUUUAUGUAUUGUUCCCUAGUACAUAGGCAGUUUUCCCAGUAGAAAAUGUAUUGUUCUCUGUCUACAAAGAUGUUUACUCUAGUUAGUCCCUAUGAAGAUAGAAUAUGCUACCUUGACUUUUAUCAGUCCUGCAGUGGGACUAGUGAAGCUUUCUAGCUCAGACCCUUGGCAUUCUUUCUGCUUCUAGCUUGAUUCUGAUCAGUAGCAAUCUGAUCUCUUCUGAUCAGGAAGAGAGAGACUCUAAUGGGGCACUUUGUAUAAACCUAAGAAAUACUAGAGGGGUGUUUUGCCUGCUCUUGUCUUUGUGGAAGUUUAAUCUGAGGCUGAAGAGUGGAUUCAGAUGGGCCAGAAUGUUUAUUUUCAUUAGAUAUUAAGGAUCCACGCAGAUUCUGUCUAGUCAUGUCUGUAAUUGUUCCCAAAGGGCAAAUACUGUUGAGCUUUGAACUUUAGCUAGACAAGGAGCUUUUCCAAGGCAGAUGGGUCUCUUUGCUCUUUGGUUUCAGGUGAUGUUCAUUGUGAGAUGUGAACAUGCACACAAUGCAGCCUUUGUCCUGGCUGCAUGUUUCUGAAACUGCAACUCUGUUUCAUCUGCCUCCUUAGAGUACUUUUCUCCUCCCAGUAGCUCCACCCACCCUUAUCCUUGUAGCUACUCUUGUUGCUGUGAUCUUGAACUUGACAAAACCCAUGUAAGGAAAGAGAAGGGUUUCUUUUUGGCUCAUAGAGGAUGCAGAACAGUAUGGUGGGGAAAGCAUGGUGGCAGGAGCUUGAGGAGGCAGCUGGUGUGCAGUCAGGAAUCAGUGAGAGGUAAGUGCUCAACUAGCUUUCUGCCUUUUCUGCUGUCUGGGACCCCUGCCUGUGGAAUGGGUGCACUCAUGUUUGAGGUGGGCCUUCCAAUCUCAGCCUAGUCUAGGGAAUCCUUCACAGCCAUGGUCAGAGUCUUAUUUCUAGAUUGUAAUUGUCAGUCAGCAUUCAAACCAUACUGAGUGCAAUCCUUUAGAGACUGAGUGCGAGUGACUGUUGUUCUGACUACUAGGGCUAGAGAGAUCAGCUGGUUUCAUUGACUUGCUUAGAGAGAAACACAAGAUUUAUAGUUCAACAACAUAGAGGAGCAGAGAGAACUGAAGGAGGGGCUUUGAAGGGCGUGUAUCUCAGGAUUAGAGUUUCCUUCCUGUUCUUUGCUACUGUCUUGCUUUCUGUUGGCCUUGUAGCACUGGUGUGGGGGAGGGGCACCCUCACAUUGAUUGCCAUGUGUGUUACUUUAAGCUUUGGAUCUUAUACUAAACCCAAGAACAUUUUUUUUUUUUUGGUCGUUAAAAGGGUAGGGAAGGAGGGUUCAUUUGAGAGUGGAGACAUCUUUGGUGGUGGUGGUAUCUUUGAGAGAAAAGUUUACUUGGGACUGAAUUUGCUUGCUAAUUCUGUAUUUUUGAACCUUAGUUGGCAGGUAGUGUGGAAUCAGUAUCAAUAUCAGUGAGGCUGUGAACCUAUAGGAAGGAUGUCUGUGGCCCACUGGGAACACAAGUUGUAGCUCCCGGGAAAGGAAGCAGAAAGUUUGAUAAAGACUUUCUUUAAAGCCAAGGGCUAUGUUGCAGAGAAGAUUGUUUUAAUUUCUUUUUACAUUUCUUUAAUUAUUUUGUGAACAUAUGUGUUUGUGUGGGUGUAUAUCCCAUGGUCUACAUGUGGAGGUCAGAGGGCUGUUUGCAAUAUGUGGGCUUCAGGGAUCAAGGUCAGGUAACCAGGCUUGGGCUAGUGUCUCUACCUAAUGAGCCGCCUCUCUGCAGCCUGAGAUGGUUAUUUAGAGGUCAUUAGGUGAAACAUUACAGAUUUAGUCAAGGUUUGAGAAAACUUAGCUAUUCAUUUUGUCACAGGGGCAAAGGCUCAUAUAGAUCAUCUAUCCUAAGGGUUUCUGUUAGGCUUUGUUAAAGAUAUUUUAGCAACUAUUUACAUAUUUAUUUUUCAAAAAAAGAUUGUUGUUUGUGAACAGAGAUCGUGCUUACAUCUUUUGGAUAGGAAAUUAAUAUCACAUGUGCAUCUCUGUGGGAAUCAGUGGUGAUCCUCAAGAGCCAAAGCGAUGGCAGUAGUUUAGUAGCAACUCACCUAGAAUUGCUCUGAGAACUGAAAUAUUCAGUGUCUAUAACACUGACAUCAGUAGCCUGAUUUUGAGUCCCUACUUUAUGGCUGGCAUUAUGCUUAUUAUAUGUGCUUUAUGUAAGUGAUCUCAUUUAGUCCUUAGAAGGAUCCAGUGUCUUAAAAUUUUUACAUAGGAGACAAAGGUAUCUGUUAAAAGCCGGGCAGUGGUGGCGCACGCCUUUAAUCCCAGCACCUGGGAGGCAGAGGCAGGGGGUUUCUGAGUUUGAGGCUGGCCUGGUCUACAGAGUGAGUUCCAGGACAGCCAGGGCUACACAGAGAAACCCUGUCUGGAAAAACAAAAACAAACAAACAAAAAAAAAACCUGGCCAAGGUUCAGGUGUGUUUGAAUUAGAGCCCGGGGAACCUGAUUUCAUAAGAUACACUCUUUACCUAGUAGUGGGGUAGAAGUGUGCAGAACUGAUUACAAGACAAAG
rnacentral:lncRNA from 1 species